AAUACCUUCCUUUUUGUUUUUGUUUUUUUUCUUCUCCAGAGGAUAAAGCUCCUACUUCCUCCCUUUUAGUUCAUAAGCUUAUUUUUCAGUACAUAGAGGAGCAGGAAUCCUGGAAGAAGAAGUGUACAACACAGCAUCAGGUACCCAAGGUAAAGUUUGAUUGAAGUAUAUAAAGGAAAACUUGCAAACUCUGUCCCACAAAGCAGAAUUGAAAUUAUAAAUAUAUAAUAGAAUCUGAAAUUAUAUAUUCAAUUAUUUAACUUUUUGAGUUCUUUGUAGCAGUCAUUGAACAUUGAAAUCUUUUUUUUUAAUUUUUUUAGAUGCUUCAAGAACUCUCACCAAUAGUAAACAAUUGCAGACUCCUUGGAGAAGAGAUUGAGUUUUUAAAGAAAUGGGGACCAAAUUAUAAUCUAAUGGACAUAGAUGUGAAUAAUACUGAGUAAGUGUAUUAUUUCCCUGGGCAGCUCUUACAAAGUACUACAAAUUGGAUGGCUUAAAUAAAAGAAAUUUAUUAUCUCAAAGUUGAGGAUAGAAGUCUAAAAUCAGAGUAUUACUCAGGUUCUUUCUAAGGGUUGAGAGAGAGAAUCUUUUCCAUGCCUUUCUCCCAAUUUCUGAUGGUCGUCUGGCAAUUUUUGAUAUUCCUUGACUUUUAAAUGUCCAAACUCUGAUCCCUGGCCUUUAUCCUCACAUGGUAUUCUUUCGGUGUCCAAAUUUCCCUUUUUUAUAACAAUACCAGUCAGAUUAGGGCCUGACCUACUCUAAUAGAACCUUAUCUUAAAUUUGCAAUUACCUGAUUUCCAAAUAAGAUCACAUUUUAGGUAUAGGGGUUAGGACUUCAGCAUAUGAAUUUUGGGGAAUAUAUUUCAACCUAUAACAACAAAUAAUUAGUCAAGAACUUAUUAAAAUAAUUGUGUUUGUUUUUUGUAUAACUAGGGAUUGAACACAAGUACAUCACACAUGCUAGACAAGUGCUUUGCCACUGAGCUCUAUCCCCAACCAUAAAAUAUUUAUUAUUGUGUUUCCUGACUAACAGUGAAAAAAGAACCAUUUUAAUACCUUGCUCCAGGUGUUUUACUUGAUAAGGAUAAGAUAAAUCCAUUUGAUAAGGACAAGAAAUAAGGUGUGCCUAAAUUUCAUAUGCCAGUCUACAUGGAAAAAAUAUGUUUGUAUUUCAGUAUAUAUUUUUAAUUGUGGGUCUUGUUUUUUAACAGAUUGAAGCUUUUAUUCUCCAGCUCUGUAGCAUUUGCAAAGUUUGCGGUAACUUUGUCUCUCUCAGCCCAUUAUCCAUUAGUCCCAUUACCUUUCACCAUUCAGAAUCACCUUGGAAACACUAGGUAAGUAAAGGGCCAGCAGGAUAAGACUCCCAGCUACCUUUUUACCUUUGUUAUCUCUCAAAGUCAUCAUCAUCAAGGGUAGUGAGAACUAAAUGUCACUUCUUUGUGAUUUCAUUUCGGAGGGUUUAUUCUUUUAAUUUCAGUGACCUUAAUUACUAUCUCCAGUAGAUGCUAGAGUCCAUUAAUGUAUUCAUUCAUACCUUCUUCCACUUUUUUUUUUUUUUUUUUCAUAUCAGGUAUUGGACUCAGGGGCACCUGACCACUGAGCCACAUCCCUAGCCCUAUUUUGUAUUUUAUUUAGAGCCUUAGUAAGUUGCUGAGGCUGAUUUUGAACUCUGAAUCAAUCCUCCUGCCUCAGCCUCCCGAGCCACUGGAAUUACAGUUGUGUAUCACCACUUCUUCACUUUUGAACCCUCCUACCUAAAACAAUAAUCUAUAAGGAAAAAAAAUUCUACAUAGUUUUAGCCCAGAUCAUAUGUCAACAAUUUUUUUGUCCUUAAAAAUAACAAUCACUUGAAAAAGCUGUGUUUUCAUAACACUAUUCUCAAUUCGUCUGUGGAAGCAGACCUGUAAAUGUCUUAUUCUUAGUAGGUUGUGAUCUAUUUUGUGACUUUUUUUAGACACACUGCUGACAGACUGGGAGAAGACAGAAUUUAAAUCCAUCAGCAAACACUAAUAGUUUAGAAUUUUAUUUAAAGAAAACAACUAGAUCAGGAUAGCUUACAAUUACAUAUAGAAUUAGUUCUCAGGCUUUGUUUCACAAUCGCAUUUCAACUUCUCAGUCUGCUUAUUUAACGAAAUACCCAUUUGUGCUUCUUGGGAAACUAAAAAACUUUAUCCAAGAACAUGAGUAGCACCGAAAUGAAGACAAAUAUAAAUUUCCAGAAAAUGAAUUAACCUUUUGUUUUUCUGUAGCCAAGAUGAAAUUGCUGCCGUUAUAUAUAAAGUGCCAUUAGCGGACAACUACCUGAAGAAUAUUGUCAAGCAAAUUUACCAAGAUCUACUUCAGGGCUGCCAUUUCUGCUGCUAGACCCAUGGACCACAGCUGUAACAACCAAGCAAGAAUUCACUUGAUAUUGUGUCAUGGUCUCUAUUGUCAUUUAACUUUACCUUUAGGUCAUAGUAAAAUUCCUUUUGAUGAUGUAAUAGUAAAUUUAUAUGGUCUGUUUUUAAAUCUGUACAAUUAGAAAUGAUAAAAGCUUUCAUAUAGCUUUGUCAGGAUGCUCGUCUUUAUACCGAAGGUAUAAUAGGGAACUUAGGGAAAUUUUCCCCUAACUAAAGUUGUGCUAUCUGCUUUAGUAUAACAAUAAGAAAUAACUUAAGAGGCAUUCACUGAUAAAACUAAGCUGUUCCCUAUGUAUAGAGCUAUUAGGUAGUCUGGCUUCUUCCUAGCAGAUAUUGCUAGAUUUAGAAAUAUGUCUGUCAACAGCUUGGUAUGGUGCUAUGCUUUUGUAAUCUCAGCUAUUCAGGAAGGUGAGGUGGGAGGAUCACUUGAACCCACAAGUUUAAGUCCAGCCUGAACAACAUAGCAAGAUCCUAUCUCAACAGCAACAAAAAAUAAACAUGUCUGUCUACAAACUAUUCAUCCUCCUUUUUCUCCAUUUCAGAAAUGAUAUGAAGAGAAAGCAUUAGCACUCUUGGACUGGUUGCUAUCUUUUCUUGGGGCCUUGCCCUUUAUUCUAUAGUGUCUAUUAAAAUUAAUUCAUUUUGACCAAGUACAUGUAUAUAAAUAUAUUAAUGUUGUUUUUGUUUGUGAUAUAAUGUUUGCCUUCUGCCUAAGUAUAUGAAGCAUUUUCAGCAAGAUUUUCAAUCUUCUUUUAUUAAAUAAUGAGAUUUAAAACUAUCAUAUCCAAAACUCUAGUUUCUGGUAGUAAUAGUAAACUUUCCUGAAGCCACACAGUCCUCAUACACAAAAAUUAGAAUAUCCAUUAUUAAAUGACCAGUAUUAUCUAUGAAAGAACAUUCACCCACACUUUAGUCAAAUCCGAAUCAUGAUAAUUUACAUUUUCUGUGUUGAAUUCUAAAUUAAAAUAUUUGUAUUUUUAAACAAAUUUGUGUUAACAUUUUGCUUUUUAAUUUAAGAGAAGGUUAAAGUCCUGUGGGUCUGUGUAUCUGUCCUCUUCAUUGGUUUUUUUUUUUACUUUUAAUCAAAAGAUUACCUGAUUUUUAGCUUCAAAAGUCAACAAAAAUGCUGUGCGUGGUAACAGAUACUGGUAAUCCUAGUGAUUUGGGAGGCUGAGGCAGGAGGAUUACAAAUUGGGGGCAGCCCCAACAUUGUAGCUUGGCUCUAAGCAACUUAAAAAGACUCUGUCUCAAAUAAAAAGGGUGGGAUGUGGAUCAGUGGUUAAGCCCCCUUGGGUUCAAUUCCCAGUAUCCCUACCCACAGAAAAAAACAACAAAGUCAAACAAAACUCAUCUGGCAUAAAAAUCAAGACAGAUGUUCCCUAUUUCCAUAAAUUUCUUUAAAAACUUUUAAAUUAUCAGUUUUUUUCUUAUUGGAGUUUUGUUUUUCCUGUAUGUCUAAUAAUUAGAAGUUUGUUUUAUUCAUUUUGGUAACUGCAACAACCCAUUCUAAGAAUGAUUUGACUUGUAAUGAUGAUCUCUGCUUUCUUGGGUUUCAAGUACAUAAUUAUAUUUAUGUAGGUAUUUGUGUUUUUCUUUGUUCGAACUUGGCUAUUUUCAUAAAAUUUUUUGUUUUACUGAUUUGAAAGCUGAUUGUUUUUGCACUAUUAAAAUAAGUUUAUUAUUUGAAA
rnacentral:lncRNA from 1 species